rnacentral:rRNA from 1 species
CACUCUAGUGAGACUGCCGGUGACAAACCGGAGGAAGGUGGGGAUGACGUCAAGUCCUCAUGGCCCUUAUGGUAGGGCUUCACACGUCAUACAAUGGUCGGUACAGAGGGUUGCCAAGCCGCGAGGUGGAGCCAAUCCCUUAAAGCCGAUCGCAGUCCGGAUCGUAGUCUGCAACUCGACUACGUGAAGUCGGAAUCGCUAGUAAUCGCAGAUCAGCAUGCUGCGGUGAAUACGUUCCCGGGUCUU